CACUAUAUCCUAACUUUAGAUGACAACAAGGAGUUUGAAAUUAAAACACCAACACCUACUAAUAACAAUGGCAACAGUUGGCAACGUUUAUAACUACAGUACAAAGACUCAAAUACAACAAGAAAACAAAAUACAACUUUGUGAGCUAUCAGUUCCCUGUUGCGAAUGAGUCUUUGAUUCAAGAGCUUCAAAAGAGUUGUAUGUUGUGAGUAUAUGGAAGCUUGGUUUUCUUGUUGUGGAAGAUGAGAAAUAUAUAUGACACAAGAAAACCUAGGACGGAUUCCAUUGGUUGGGGCAAAAAGGUUGCAGCUGCUUUCUACCAACCGUUGUACUUUCGUCCAGCUGUGUAGUUAACUAUGGCAGUGACGUGUAGGCCCAACCAGGUCCCUAAGUAGUUGCAGUUUUGUCAUCGCACAUUCAUUCAGGAAAUAGAUCCCCAACAAACAAUUUGUCAAUCUUUAAAACUAAGGACUUAACAAGAAUCUUUGCUUUUCUUGCACCCAAGGGUGUGGCUAGUGGUUUAAUGAAGUUGGGUUCAGCAUCAUGAGGCCUCAGGUUCAUUUCCUAAUAGAGAAACACUAGGUGAUUUCUUCCCAUCUUCUAGCCUAGCCUUGGUGGACAAAGUUACCUGGUAUUUGUUGUUGGUGGGAGGUGACAGGAAUCCCGUGGAAUGAGUCGAGGUGUGCGCAAGUUGCCCCGAACACUACGAUUAUCAAAAUAAAUAGAUCUUUCCUUCUCUUUUGUUCUUUAGCAUGCAAAAAAUGACUCCAUUUUCCUUUAUAUUAGUGUGAAUUUAUCAGAAAAUACAUUCUUUUGGAGCUUCAUUGAUAACAGAAUGAAGCUUUACUGAUUUGAUGUUGGAGUAGUUUCUCAAAUCUAAAAUGUUGUGAUCUAUACGGUAAUAAAAUCAGAGUUGUAAAGACAAGUAUCGAUCACUUCUAUAUUUUACCAUCUUACAAGUAUUAGACAAACUUGAUAUAAACAAUAAGACCUUUAGAAGAUGAUGUGAGUGAGUUCCUGAUUCUUUGUGCAGGAAAGGAUGCAACUGACGAUUUUGAGGAUGUUGGCCACAGCAGCAGUGCUCGAGCGAUGUUGGAUGAGUACUACGUAGGUGAUAUUGAUUCAGCAUCCAUCCCCACCAACACCAAGUAUACUCCUCCCAAGCAGCCUCAUUACAACCAGGACAAAACAUCAGAGUUCGUCAUCAAGCUCCUCCAGUUAUUAGUUCCCAAACAGUCAACAACUUGAAUAUCGGGGGAGGCCUUUGUUACCUGAGCAAGUCUUGGUUAAAUUAUGGGGAUAGUAAGAAACUCUGUUGUACUGAUGAACCCCCCUCAGACUUCAUAUGGUCUUCUUUAAUCGUAUUUUUAAGAUUUUUUUGUUUCUGCAGAUGAUAAUCUCUGCAAAUUGAAUUUCUUUUUCGGCUGUGUUGAUUUAUUCGGAUAUCUCCAUUUCGUUGGCAUGCCUACCUUUAGAAACGUGCAAGUAGCGUGGCUGAUGUGUAAAUUUCACAUGAUCCUCCAGAAUGCAUGUCAACUUUACCCUCCAACCCCAAUCUCCGAGAAAAAUAAGAAUAGGAAAGCAAAGAAGGCAUGAUCUGUGAUUUCUUCAAACUUCGGAGUUAGACUCAUGCUCAAGUAGUAUUAAUGUUUUCAAAGAGAUGGCAAAGGCAAGAGACAUAAAGUAAAGAUAUAUGAAACAAUAAAGCCGAAAGAGGCACACAAACAGGUGUAAGGAGUUUUAAGAGGCAACAAAAAGAUCUUGCAUCAAUGACUAUUGAUUUACCAGUGCUCUGUUGGUCCAUUUAGUGGGUCCUCCCACAAAAACAAAAUCAUACUAUACAUUGAGCAUCCGUGACAGCGAGAA
rnacentral:lncRNA from 1 species